rnacentral:rRNA from 1 species
GUCUACGGCCAUGCUACCCUGAACAAGUCCAAUCCUGUCUCAUGUCGGAAGCUAAGCAGGGUCGGACUUUGUUAGUACUUGGAUGAGAGACCACCUCGGAAAACGAGGUGCUGUAGGCG